UGGUCAUAUGACAUUUAGAUCUAAGCUGCCCUGCUCUCUGGGGACGCUAUGUAGUACUAGUGAAGGCACUCCCCCUUUCCAGGCCCCAGUCUGUGCCAACCAAUGCUCUAGGCAACACUGCCCCUCCUUUCCCCCCUGACAAUGCCAGGGCUAUGCCAGCUGAGCACAUGAUGAGUGAGUUUCCCCAAAGUCCAGCACAUAACUAACUUAGGAAUAAUGCUAUUCUAAUAGUAUUGCUUGCUUUCUCAGUGGGUGGCAGAGGGGUGAGAGGGAAGGAGAGAAUUUCAAACUCAAAAAAAAAAAUUUAAAUACUAAAAAUAAAUAAUAAAAUUUUUAAGAAAAAGGGAAAAAAUAAUACUAUUCUUUUUUCUACUAACUGAGGGAAGGGAAACUGACUUUCUACUGACUGAGAGAGAGGGGAGGAAGGGAGUAGGGAGGGAGGCUCAGUCUUUUCUAGGCAGGGUCCCCAUCUGUUUCCCGGAUGUUGUUGGCCUCAGGAAGUCAAGGGUGGAGUGUUUAGUAACCUCAAGUUACCUCCUUAUCUACAGUUCCUGCCCCUGUUUCAAACAAUCCAGAGGUCUGGUAGAAGAGUUUUAUGGAGAUCGAGGGGAGGAGGAAAACGGACAGGAGAGAGCAAGGCAAAUAGGCCGUCGACCCACAACUCCGGUUCCUGCCCAGAAGACUUUUAUCUUGGAGCCCCUCCCUGGGUGCAGGAGGAAAGUUGAGUCAUGAAGUGAGUUGAGACAUACUCCUCUGAAUCCUUCCUGCCCUUUUUACAAAGCCUGAUCUCUCAUGGGGGGAGUCAUGGGGAAGAUAAUAAGUAAGAAAGGAGUUCAGCUCGUUGGAGAACAGGGACCCAGACAAGACAACACUUGAUCAAAAGCCAUGGGAGUCCUUUAACCCAGCCCCACUAAAGACUGGAAGGAGUGAGGCUUCUUUCCUCCACUCAGUAGCCUUCCAGCCCCACCCAACAACAGGCUCAGACUUCCCAGUGGAUUGACCCAGCUCUUCCACUUCUGAGAGCCCAAGAGGCCGUACUCACUCAGGGCUCCAUCUUCUUCUUUUUCAGGAUGGGGAAUGGGCAGGGAGACAGAAGCAGUACCCUUAACCUUGCCUGGGACCUGGCACUAAGCCACCGGAGAAAGCCAGGCCCCUGGAACUGAGCUAGGAAACACCAUGAGCAGCUAGACACC
rnacentral:lncRNA from 1 species